AUUGAACGAUGGCGGCAGGCCUAACACAUGCAAGUCGAACGAGUGGCGGACGGGUGAGUAAUGUCUGGGAAACUGCCUGAUGGAGGGGGAUAACUACUGGAAACGGUAGCUAAUACCGCAUACCAUCGGAUGUGCCCAGAUGGGAGUAGCUAGUAGGUGGGGUAAAGGCUAACCUAGGCGACGAUCCCUAGCUGGUCUGAGAGGAUGACCAGCCCAACUGGAACUGAGACACGGUCCAGACUCCUACGGGAGGCAGCAGUGGGGAAUAUGGCACAAUGGGCGCAAGCCUGAUGCAGCCAUGCCGCGUGUAUGAAGAAGGCCUUCGGGUUGUAAAGUACUUUCAGCGAGGAGGCGUUACUCGCAGAAGAAGCACCGGCUAACUCCGUGCCAGCAGCCGCGGUAAUAC
rnacentral:rRNA from 1 species